UGGAUUUCUUCUCUCUCCAUCUCUCUCUUGACGAAAAUUGUUCUUCUCUCCACAUAUCUCUCUGUGAUUCUCCUCAUCGCAUCCUCUGUUUCUUGAUCUCUAUAUUCUUUUCAUGAUAAUAACGGGAAAAAGCUCAAUCAAAGAAGGAGAAUGAGAUCCCUAAUGUGUAAAAUCACACAACGAGAAGCCGCAUAGAUUGAUGAGACCUUGAUGUGUCCUCUUGGCUUCUCCGUUGAUCAGCUCAUGGUCUUCCUUUCUUCUUCUCCCUCUUCCGCUUUUGAUUUUACCCGUAGAGAUUGAUCAGACCUUGAUGGGUCCUCGUGGCUGAGGUUUAUCUUGGCGUGGUUAAGGUCUUACAUGGAUUGUAUGGCUUGAGAUCAAUUUCCCUUCAGUGGCUGAGGUUUCCAGAGCAGUACAGGUCCAGGAUCACUGCAAUAAAUGGAUGAAACCGCCACCAGGAGAUUGAUCAAAGUUACUUUAUUACCAUUGUUGCUGGGAAGAAGGCUCUUGAAAGUUCUGGUCUUGGUGGUGAUAAGCUUAGCACGGUACUACUCUUUUAGAUUGAUCAAAGUUCAGAGCUUUGACUCAUUCAGUUUAGAUGCUAAAUGACAGCAGGGAAGUGAAAGAUGAUUCCUUAAGCUGCUGGUGUCAUCAUCCCUUUAGCUUUGACCUUUCUGGUCCACAACGCUAAGAGAGACAAAGAAACGAGGAGUGACUGUCGACGACGUCGGUGGAGAGCCUGGUCACACCGUUAGGAACCACAGGUUCAAAGAUCCAGUCAGCUCCCACUGGGAAGACAUCUCCACUUUCCCGGAGCUCUUCGACAUCUCGUGUAAGAACCACAGCGACAAGUUUUUCCUCGGGACCAGGAGGCUGAUUGCUAGGGAGGUCGAGACUAGCGAGGACGGGAAAGUGUUUGAGAAGCUUCAUUUGGGUGAUUACGAGUGGAAGACGUUCGGAGAGACGCUUGACGCUAUGUAGUUUUGCUUCUGGUUUGGUUAGGAUUGGUUACUAAGAACCAACCUAAAAGUACCAGCAAUAAUCUCUUUUUUUCUUAAUGUUCCUUAACAUUGUUCUUUAGCUCAAAAAUACUAAUAAACAAUGCUAAGACCUUUCUAGC